rnacentral:rRNA from 1 species
AGAGUUUGAUCCUGGCUCAGAACGAACGCUGGCGGCAGGCUUAACACAUGCAAGUCGAACGCUCGUAGCAAUACGGGAGUGGCAGACGGGUGAGUAACGCGUGGGAACAUACCCUCCGGUUCGGAAUAGCUCAGGGAAACUUGGAUUAAUACCGAAUACGGCUGAGAGGCGAAAGAUUUAUCGCCGGAGGAUUGGCCCGCGUUCGAUUAGCUUGUUGGUGAGGUAACGGCUCACCAAGGCGAUGAUCGAUAGCUGGUCUGAGAGGAUGAUCAGCCACAUUGGGACUGAGACACGGCCCAAACUCCUACGGGAGGCAGCAGUGGGGAAUAUUGGACAAUGGGCGCAAGCCUGAUCCAGCCAUGCCGCGUGAGUGAUGACGGCCUUAGGGUUGUAAAGCUCUUUCGCUCGGGACGAUAAUGACGGUACCGAGAUAAGAAGCCCCGGCUAACUUCGUGCCAGCAGCCGCGGUAAUACGAAGGGGGCUAGCGUUGUUCGGAAUUACUGGGCGUAAAGCGCGUGUAGGCGGGUCUUUAAGUCAGGGGUGAAAUGCCAAGGCUCAACCUUGGAACUGCCUUUGAUACUGGAGAUCUUGAGUCCGGGAGAGGUGAGUGGAAUUGCGAGUGUAGAGGUGAAAUUCGUAGAUAUUCGCAAGAACACCAGUGGCGAAGGCGGCUCACUGGCCCGGAACUGACGCUGAGACGCGAAGGCGUGGGGAGCAAACAGGAUUAGAUACCCUGGUAGUCC